rnacentral:misc_RNA from 1 species
CAACCCUCAAGCCCCCCGGGCUUGGUGCUGGGGAUCGGCCGUCAUGGGCCGGCCCCGAAAUCGAUUGGCGGUCUCGCUGUAGCCUCCUCUGCGUAGUAGCAACACCUCGCACUGGAACGCGGCGCGGCCACGCCGUAAAACCCCAACUUCUGAAA